ensembl:lncRNA
AUGGAACCAAGCAUCUUCUAUGCAGAAAUAUUUAAUGCUACCAAGUCUGGAGAAGUCAUAAAAAUGGGAUCUAGGAUAAGGAAUGCUAUACACAUCCAAAGAGACCCAACUUUGUCAGGUGUCUUGGAACAUGCUGACCAAGCUCUGUCAUUAUCUUGUUUCUUUCAGGAGGUCAAGGUAAACCCCAGUUCCAGUGCUUGCUUGCUUGCUUGCUUGCUUUUUUUUUUUUUUUUUUUUGAGACAGAGUCUCGCUCUAUCACCCAGACUGGAGUGCAAUGAUGCAAUCUCAGCUCACUGCAGGCUCCGCCUCCCAGCUUCAUGCCAUUCUCCUGCCUCAGCCUCCUGAGUAGCUGGGACUACAGGUGCCCUCCACUACACCUGGCUAAUUUUUUGUAUUUUUAGUAGAGACGGGGUUUCACCGUGUUAGCCAGGAUGGUCUCUAUCUCCUGACCUCAUGAUCUGCCUGCCUUGGCCUCCCAAAGUGCUGGGAUUACAGGCUUGAGCCACCGCACCCGGCCUCCAAUGCUAAAUAUUUUUCUGUCUUCAUUGUCAACCUUUGAAAUGGUCUUGAUGCUUAACUAACUUUUUUCAAUUUUUUGGAAUCUAGGGAUUGAUGAUCAUACAUUAAAGGUUUGGGUGGUGAAAAACUACUAUUGUCCUUCAGCUUUGGAAAAACAUUUUACUGACAACUUGGAGCACAUAUGUUUUAAUUAUUUAAAGCCUAGUAGCCUAAAUAUGAUGCCCAGUGAGAAUGGUAUUAAUAUAACACUAGAGAAAGGUAUAUAGUAUAGAAGAAAAAUUAGUACUUGGGACAGGAAAAUGUGAAAAACAGGUGUCUUUGUCUACAUAGACAAAUAGCUCUAUAUAGCUCUCUUAUUACACAAAGUGCAAUAGUGACAACAUCAUCAAGCGAUGUAAAUGAUAGCUUUUCUGGGAGAAAUCCAUCAAGAACAAUUACUAUAUUAGUAACAACAAAAACACCUUAUGAUCACUGUAAAAGCAGUAGGUCAACAGACAUUAAGAAAUGUAAAAGUUGUCAUUUCAUAGCAAGCACAGUUAUGCAAACAAUUUUCCAAAUGGUACCCCAAAGGAAAAGUUAUAUUGGAAAAUUAAACCUCAUCUGCACGUUCUAAAAAAAUCCAGUAAUAUCUAUCUCUAACCAUUUUUAUAGUGACAGCUUCUCUGCCAGUUGUAUUAUGAGUUUUAGAAAAGGGAGAAGAAAAAGGAUUGACAUAGCCUCACAACUGCACAGACACUGAGCUUCUGAUCUUCUGUAUGUGAAUACUUUAAUCUAUCACAUUUUCAGUGGGUUUUAUGUUCAACCAGGGGGUUUAGCAUUUGAUUUCCUAGGUUACUGAACAGUAGGCACUCUCUCUAUGUUAUUGGAUAAAUCAUUUCAGGAUCAGACUAUACUGGUUCCUUCUCCAAAAUGCAUUGUCAGUCACCCGAUAAGAAAUGCUUCUAACCCUCUGCUAAAGCCUCCACCUCAGCCAGGGCCACUAGGUGUCUAGUUCUUCCUUAGGUUUCACUCUCAAGAAGCACUGAUAGAAAGUGUCUUAAAAAUAUAAUCAAUAUACUUAAUAAUAGUAUCAAACUUUUGCCCAAUGUUGUAAUCUGGUUAGAGGCUCAUUCUCUAGUUCUGAAGGUGAAAGAGCUGCUUCUUUUUUCUAGUCUCUCUUUUUUCUCAGAGAGAAAACAGACUUACGGACUUGCCUCCCUGCCUUCUCAGAAAAUGGGAAAAUGGAUUUUAACGAAGAAAGAAAGUACGAAAAUGUUUGGAAAUGUAUUUGUACUUACCAGGUAUACAAUGAUAGAGUUUUUGGAUAGGGAGUAAUGCUAACACUUGACAGAAUAGGACAAUUAUUUGGCCAUAUUUUUGAGGAUCUGAUGUUGCCUUUGUUAGCCCCACUAGCUCUGAGAAUCCACCUUUCUUCUCUAGAGACAACUUUUAGUCCAAACUUCCAUGUCAGAUUGUAUAGGAGCACAACCACCUCCUACAAGUCACCCGUGAUCUCCUGUGGGAUGGUUUCUAUAAGGUCUAUACUGACAAACUUACCCAGUAAAACUGAGUUCUACAGCUCUGGUUCAAAGUUCUGUCGUUAUACAUUAUAGCCCUUAGGCACCUUAUAUUCAAACUCUCACUACUUUCUGCUUGUUUAAUUCCGAACGACAAGACAUUCACCCACCAGGGCUCCUUGUUUGGGUCCACUCCAGCAGCUUGGAACCCUUCUUUCUUUUGGGAUGACACAGCACCUUUAGUAUAAAAUAAGAUAUGGGUCACAUAUUCCUUGCUUUGAAACAUAACAGACACACAUACCUUUUUGUCUGUUUAUUUUUUUUUUAAGAGUGAUGCAUGGAUUAGAGUUUCCUAGGCAAAAUCCUGAAGCUUUUUAAGAUGUGGAGUGCACAGAGUUCUCAAAUGCUUGGUCAUUUGAAAACUGCAUCUCUGAUGUCCUGGCUACUUGGUCAGACUCUUAUCUUUGAAAUGUAGCUUAGAUCAUCAUAAGGACCUUUGAUGGGUACUGCUGAGAGCGUUUUUUGCAUACGCAUAAGAAAAGAUACAUUUCUCUUAUCACCAUGAAACUGCAUUGCUUCAAAAAGAUGAACUAAUCAGAAGCAGCUGGAAUGAAUUAGAGACAUUGACAACUCAAAAAUGAGACAUAAGUGAUCCUGUGGGGGAAAAGCACUUUUAAAUUGUUUAAAUGUGCUUGUCUAACAUGUCACUAAAAGCUGUAAUCUUCCAUUUUCCAUUAACAACUCCAUCAAUUUUCCUCUAAUGUUUUAAAUUAACUGUCUUCUCUCAAACAUGAUGCUGUUCAACAUUUGAAAAAAAUGGUCCCUGUUUUUUUUAAUUCCAGAUUUAGAAAACUGAAAUAUGCAGCACAUUUUGAUAAAAGUUUAUUCAUGCUAGAGGUUGGCAUGUUUCCUAUCACUUGAAAUUUUAGAGCAUUGCCCCCAAAUAAAUGUGCCUAUUCUUUUAUACAUUUUAUGAUCCCUGUGAUGGCAGCAUUAUAACUCUGCCAAACAGGAGAAAAUUACAUUGUUUUUAUAAAAUUUCCAAGAGAUGACCUUGUUUUCACUUAACUAAUUUUAUGCUUGCAUCCUUGUUCUCUUCUGACAAUGACUUUUCUGGAGAAUGAAAAACAAAAGGAUAAUAUGAAAAUAUUUUAGCACCCUAUAUUGAUGGGAGUAAGUGUACAUCUAUUAAAAGAGAGAAAUCACCCCACCCCAAUUAGUUGACAUAGCACAUUUGGCUAAUUGGUAAAAGAAAUAUUAUGUUCACAGAUCAGAUAAAAAUUGAAUUUCUAUAUCAAUCUACCAAGCAACCACUAAUUAAAUGUUGAGUAGAUUUCCGACAUGUCCUAUAAGUCCUACUAUGGCUGUGAUGUUUUGGUUUUUACUUUAGAAUGUUUAUUGAUUCAUUUCAAUUUAACAGAUAUUUACUAUCACUUUAUGCAGGCAUGAAGCUAGGCACUGGGAUGCAAAGAGUAAUUAAAUACGGGACAAGGUGUGCCAAAGAAGACUACUGGUCCUGUAGGAUUGGCUGCAUGUGAGAAUCCACAUGAGAGGCUGAGAAUACUGUACACAAAGAUCCUUGAUGUUCUUGAGCAAAUCUCUAAAAAUGCAGCAUAUAAAAGGUGUACAGAACAGAUUACAAAUGAGAAGUUGGCUAUGCUUAAAGUGGAACCAGAUGUUAAAAAAUUAGAAGACCAACUUCAAGGUGGCCAGAUAGAAGAGGGGAUUCAUCAGGCUGAAAAUGAACUGAGUCUGGUGAGAAAAACAAUGCAGUGGAAACCAUGGGAGGCAUUAGUGGAAGAGCCUCCUGCCAAUCAGUGGAAACAGCCAAUAUAAUUAUUAAAUGACUUUGGUGGGUUGAGGGAAAUAGAUGUAAUUAAAUAUUCUGUUACAUUAAGAGUGUGUUCAUAUUAUUGAUAUUUUAUAAUCAAGAAAACUGAUACAGAAAAUACUUAGGAGACCCGUUAAAAUGAAUGAUUAUGGCAACAUCAUCUUGUGAGUCAAUUUUUGAUUUGUAAAUUUUUCACACAAAUUAUUUCCAAGAUGAUAUUUCUUUGAAUAAAGAGGUUGUGGGAAGAUCUGAAAAUUAGAAAAAUUCCUACCAAUCUUCAAUGCAGAGACUAUAAUCAAAAAGUAGUUUCUUUAGUAGUAUCUUCAAUACACCAUUUAAUAUUUUUAUUAUCCUAAAGAAGAAAAAGCCCUUAAUUAUUGUCUAAACAAAUUUAUAGAUCACUGUUUGAAGUAAAGGCAAUGAUUAUUUUCAAACGUGAAAAGCAGCACAAGUGGCUGGAAUAACAAUUUGAAAUUAUGUUUAACCUCCUUGGCUGUGAUCUUAUGUAUAUAAAGCCAAAUUUAA